rnacentral:lncRNA from 1 species
AGAAGAAGACGGGAGCCGGUGCAGCCCAGGCUCCCUGCCCUGCCGAGACCUGACCGUGCCUGGCCAGCCCCUGCCCCAGCCCCAAGGGACUCCCACGAGGACACCAGAUCCUCCGGGGGUGGAGGAGCCCUGCGGUGCCUGUGCGGAGGGGCCUGAGGCUGGAGGAGGCCUAGAGGGCUGAUCCUGCCUUUGCCCCACCAUUCUGAUGUUUUGUUCGAUGUGGACGUUUUGCAUUCACUUAGAUUCUGCAAAAUCUUGCGUUAAAAUAUGACUUAUCUUGAUUCCUGAAUUUUUCCAUGCCUUUUGUACCUGAGGGGACUGUCACACUCACCUAAGCCCUCACCAGGCCCUAGUGGGUCAGAAGGCGGGAGUACAGUAUCUCUGUGUGUGUGUGCAUAUGUGUAGUGUGUGGUGUGCUUGUGUGUGUUUAUGUGGCAUGUUGUAUGUAUGUGUGGUGUGCAUGUGUCUGUGGGUGUGUGUGUGCGUUUGUCAUAUGGGUGUGUACGUGGUGUGUGUGUGUGCUGUGGGGACGUAUGGUGUGUGUGUAACGUGUGUGGUUUAUAUGUGUGUGUGGUGUGUAUGCGUGAUGUGUGUAUGUAGUGUGUGUAAUGUGUGUGUAGUGUGUGUGGGGUGUGUGUGUAGUGUGUGUUGUGUGUGUGUGGUGUAUGUGUGUGGUGUGUGUGUGUGAUGUGUGUGUAAUGUGUGUGGUGUAUGUGUGUGGUGUGUGUGUGAUGUGUGUAUGUAGUGUGUAAUGUGUGUGUAGUGUGUGGGGGGGUGUGUAGUGUGUGUUGUGUGUGUGGUGUGUGUGUGGUGUGUGUGUGAGAUGUGUGUGUGUACUGUGUGUAAUGUGUGUGUAGUGUGUGUGUGGUGUGUGUGUGGUGUGUCUGUAGUGUGUGUUGUGUGUGUGUGGUGUGUGUGUGGUGUGUGUGUGGUGUGUCUGUAGUGUGUGUUGUGUGUGUGUGGUGUGUGUGUGGUGGCUACAGCCUGGCUGAAGGUUGGAGUGUGAGAAGGCGGUGUAGGAGAAGCCAUGUGAGUUCUGCCUGCU